rnacentral:rRNA from 1 species
AUUGAACGCUGGCGGCAGGCCUAACACAUGCAAGUCGAGCGAGCGGCGGACGGGUGAGUAAUGUCUGGGGAUCUGCCCGCUAGAGGGGGAUAACUACUGGAAACGGUGGCUAAUACCGCAUACUAUCGGAUGAACCCAGAUGGGAUUGGCUAGUAGGUGGGGUAAAGGCUCACCUCGGCGACGAUCUCUAACUGGUCUGAGAGGAUGAUUAGCCACACUGGGACUGGGAGGCGGCCCGGCCUCCGACGGAAGGCGGCAUGGUGCAAUAUUGCACGAUAGGCGCAGGGCUGGUGCGGCCAUGCCGCGUGUAUGAGGGGGGCCUUAGGGUUGUAAAGUUCUUUCAGCGGGGAGACGUUACCCGCAGAAGAGGCACCGCCUAACUCCGUGCCAGCCGCCGCGGUAAUUC